rnacentral:rRNA from 1 species
GACGAACGCUGGCGGCGUGCCUAAUACAUGCAAGUCGAGCGCAGGAAACCGUCUGAACCCUCCGGGGGGACGACGGCGGAAUGAGCGGCGGACGGGUGAGUAACACGUAAAGAACCUGCCCAUAGGUCUGGGACAACCACGAGAAAUCGGGGCUAAUACCGGAUGUGUCAUCGGACCGCAUGGUCCGCUGAUGAAAGGCGCUCCGGCGUCGCCCAUGGAUGGCUUUGCGGUGCAUUAGCUAGUUGGUGGGGUAACGGCCCACCAAGGCGACGAUGCAUAGCCGACCUGAGAGGGUGAUCGGCCACACUGGGACUGAGACACGGCCCAGACUCCUACGGGAGGCAGCAGUAGGGAAUCUUCCACAAUGGACGAAAGUCUGAUGGAGCAACGCCGCGUGAACGAUGAAGGCUUUCGGGUCGUAAAGUUCUGUUGUAAGGGAAGAACAAGUGCCGCAGGCAAUGGCGGCACCUUGACGGUACCUUGCGAGAAAGCCACGGCUAACUACGUGCCAGCCGCCGCGGUAA